rnacentral:rRNA from 1 species
GUGGGGAAUUUUGGACAAUGGGCGCAAGCCUGAUCCAGCCAUUCCGCGUGCAGGAUGAAGGCCUUCGGGUUGUAAACUGCUUUUGUACGGAACGAAAAGCCUCUGGUUAAUACCCGGGGGUCAUGACGGUACCGUAAGAAUAAGCACCGGCUAACUACGUGCCAGCAGCCGCGGUAAUACGUAGGGUGCGAGCGUUAAUCGGAAUUACUGGGCGUAAAGCGUGCGCAGGCGGUGAUGUAAGACAGUUGUGAAAUCCCCGGGCUCAACCUGGGAACUGCAUCUGUGACUGCAUUGCUGGAGUGCGGCAGAGGGGGAUGGAAUUCCGCGUGUAGCAGUGAAAUGCGUAGAUAUGCGGAGGAACACCGAUGGCGAAGGCAAUCCCCUGGGCCUGCACUGACGCUCAUGCACGAAAGCGUGGGGAGCAAACAGGAUUAGAUACCCCGGUAGUCC